rnacentral:siRNA from 1 species
UGCUACUAGGAUUCUCGAGGG